AUGCAGCCAUGCCGCGUGUGUGAAGAAGGCCUUCGGGUUGUAAAGCACUUUCAGUCGUGAGGAAGGUAGUGUCGUUAAUAGCUGCAUUAUUUGACGUUAGCGACAGAAGAAGCACCGGCUAACUCCGUGCCAGCAGCCGCGGUAAUACGGAGGGUGCGAGCGUUAAUCGGAAUUACGGGGCGUAAAGCGCAUGCAAGUGGUUUGUUAAGUCGGAUGUGAAAGCCCGGGGCUCAACCUCGGAAUAGCAUUUGAAACUGGCAGACUAGAGUACUGUAGAGGGGGGUAGAAUUUCAGGUGUAGCGGUGAAAUGCGUAGAGAUCUGAAGGAAUACCGGUGGCGAAGGCGGCCCCCUGGACAGAUACUGACACUCAAAUGCGAAAGCGUGGGGAGCAAACUGGAUUAGAUACCCUGGUAGUCCACGCCGUAUUCCAUGUCGACUUGGAGGUUGUGGCCUUGAUCCGUGGCUUUCGGAACUAAGGCGUGUUCUACACCGCCUGGCGAAUACGGUCGCAAGAUUAACACUCAGAUGCAAUUGACCCGGCGCCCGCAUAAGACUGUGGAUCAUGUGGCUGAAUUCCAUGCGCCGCCUACAACCUUACCUACUCUUGACAUCCACAGAACUUUGCAGAGAUGGAUUGGUGCCUUCCGGAAAUCGGAGGCACGUGCUGCGUGUCUGUCGUCGGCUGGUGUUGUGACUUGCUCGGCUAAGUGUCGCUACGAGUGCAAGCGGUGAGCCUUGUUUGCCAGCGAUUCAUGU
rnacentral:rRNA from 1 species